AACGAACGCUGGCGGCAUGCCUAACACAUGCAAGUCGAACGAGACCUUCGGGUCUAGUGGCGCACGGGUGCGUAACGCGUGGGAACCUGCCCUUAGGUUCGGAAUAACUCCCCGAAAGGGGUGCUAAUACCGGAUAAUGUCUUCGGACCAAAGAUUUAUCGCCUUUGGAUGGGCCCGCGUUGGAUUAGCUAGUUGGUAGGGUAAAAGCCUACCAAGGCGACGAUCCAUAGCUGGUCUGAGAGGAUGAUCAGCCACACUGGGACUGAGACACGGCCCAGACUCGUACGGGAGGCAGCAGUGGGGAAUAUUGGACAAUGGGCGAAGGCCUGAUCCAGCAAUGCCGCGUGAGUGAUGAAGGCCUUAGGGUUGUAAAGCUCUUUUACCCGGGAUGAUAAUGACAGUACCGGGAGAAUAAGCACCGGCUAACUCCGUG
rnacentral:rRNA from 1 species